AACAUAAUUGAAGCUAUCUAAUGGAUUAAGCUAAUUUCGUUAAUGGUCCCAUUUACAGGGAUCAAAUUAUUAAGAUUCCUCAUAGCAAUAUAGUCCCAUAUAGUGCUUUUCAGUUGCUUGUGUAUAUUGUUCUCUGAAGCAAGUGUUAAAUAUCUUUCCCAUAUCUAUGCUUGUAAAAGCAUGUAUUUUGAUCUUGGAAAAUAAAAUAUUUGCAGGAUGAAGUAAACAGGCUCAUUGAUGUGACACUUGGAGAACGAGAAAGGGAGAUUAUACGCCUUUAUUAUGGUCUAGAUAAGGAUUGUCUUACAUGGGAGGACAUUAGUAAACGCAUAGGUCUGUCCAGAGAAAGAGUAAGGCAAGUGGGACUUGUGGCGCUAGAGAAACUAAAGCAUGCUGCAAGGAGGAGAAAAAUGGAGGCGAUGCUAGUCAAACAUUGAUUUUUGUAUAUUUCACUGUCAACAGGACUGUAUAUAUAUACAGAUGAGGAAAUACUAUAUCACCCAUUUCUUUUCCCCGCCUGUAAUGACACUAUACAAGCUCAAGAAAGAGCCAGUGAGCCUCAUCUUUCUGUAACCAAAGUGAUUUUAAGAGCUUGUAAGUUGGAGGACAAAUUUAUUAUGAUGUAUAAAAGAGCAUACAGGUUAUGAUUUCAUCU